rnacentral:antisense_RNA from 1 species
CUCAGGCCUGGACCAUCACUGUUGCCCAUCCCAUGCCAUCAACAGGUUUGCCCCAUCCCUUCGGCUCCCUACCGGGGCAUUCAGUUGUGUUGAGCAGCAGAGUGUCUCCAAGUCCCUUAUCUAGCCUUUGUUUUCAGCCCCCACUGGUUGAGCUGCAUCCGGAUCCCAUCCCACAGGGACCCCCCCGGCCACUGCAGGUGCAUGCUGAUCCUGCAGCUCCUCAAGGGUGUCAUCGCUUUCCCCCUUCCCAGACCCAGCACACCCUUCCUGCACGGCGCUGUGCUGCACCUUCACUCUGGUCACGGGUCUGGCAGUCGGCUCACCAAUUCCUUCUGCUUUCCUGGGACUCGCCGGCUUUUAGCACUGCAAUUCACUCAGCAAACUGGGACUGUUGGUCACCCUACCUGGCAGCCAGUGAUAAGGUGAGGGCCACUCCUGGGAGGGAGGACACCUGUGGGGAAAAUUCUUGUGUUAUUUAUUUCUCCUUCGGGAUAGGGUGCCUGCAGCGCUUCAUGGGAGGGGGUGGGCUGAUGCUGCGGGCUCAGAAGUUUCAAGGACAUCUGGGGAGACCAGAUAUUCAGAGACCUCCUAGAUGUGCCUGUUCCAUGUAUCAGGGACGCAGGUUUUCCCAACAGGGCUUGUGUCAUUGGCAUGACAGACCUGCCUUGGCUGAGCAUUCACCUGUCUUUGGAGUUCAGCCACCUUAGCAAGUCCGGGGUUUGUUCUUCAGACUUUGCUGCUCGCCCAUUGCCUGGAUCGGGGGCUACUUUGUAAACCGCCAGGAAGACUCCAGUGUUGCUGCUGAAUUUUUAGAUGUUUGUUCAUUGCUCUUGGCCUCUCAUUAAUCCCCUGUGGGUCAUCCAGGAAACAUACUCACCACUGUCUGCUCUCUGAGUUUUCAUUUCCAGGCAUCCGCCCUGCCUGGAUCUCCUCACCUGCCAGGAACUUCCUCUCCACAAGCCGGCCAUCCCAGCAAAAGUUCUAACACCAAAGGUCUGGCAACUAGCCUGCCAUCUUGUGCCUGGAGCCGCCUGCGUGCCACCUACCCCGAAGAUGCGAACCUUGUUGCCAGUUGGGCAGAUGCAGGGCAAUCCUGUACCAAGCCCCCAUUUUACCACCUGCUUUCUCAGACCACUCUGGAACCCACUGUCUCAGAUUGUGUCCUCCAGGAAGCAGACCGUGAGAGGGAGUUGGCAGGGCCAAAGGUUUACUGGGGCUAACUAACACUCAGGAAAGGGAUAGGAAGGAAGUAGGGCUGGAGAGCAGGUUGAGCCCGACCUGACAGUCUCGAGCAGCCCAACAGGGAGGUGUGGAGCAAGGGUUGCCCACUAGAGGGGCCUGCGUUGGGCACGGGUGGUGGGGUCCACAUGGUACCUGGCACAUAGGCUGUGCAAUCUGUGUUAACUGACUGGAUGAAUUAAUGCCCGGAAAAGGCGCCCUGGAGAAUGGGUGCGUGCUGAGCACAAUAGGGAAGGGCCCAGCAUCUGCCUUGGCAUAGGCAGAAGUGUGCUGUGCCCUGCAACAGGCCACCCGAGAGCUGCUUUGAUCUUGUGUGUGCAUUAGACAACUGCCUGGGGCAUGAAGGGGAUGUGCUUCCCGGGCAUUUGCUGGCAGGGCGUCUCGUGAUCUCUCGGUAUUGGUGUGAGCACAGCCUGGCAGGAGAGGGCAGAUCUCAGUGCAAAGUAUGUCAAAAAGCAGAUGGAAGCCAGGCCCCCUCCUGAAAGAGGCUCCUUGAAG